GGACCGGCCUGGCCCUGACCCCAGGCCGCCCCCCGCUGCCCACCCAGCUCUGGGCGCCCAGGUCCGACCUCCCAGUCGCCCUCUGAGAGCCGAGUCAGCGCGGGGCGGGGGGUCGCCCCCUUUGUCCUCACUCAGGGCGGGAGGCCCUCGGGGUGGCCGCAGACGCCCCGUUGGGCAGCCCUCCAGCCCAGCUCUCCAGGCAGGAGGUGGGGGAAGCCUGGGAAAGCGGAGGGGGGGCCCCGGGAUCCCCCGAGGCGCGGGGCUCCCGGCGAAGCCUCAGAUCUCCGGCCCUUCCCGGGGAGGGUGCGGGCGGGGCGGGCCUUUGGAAAUGCAGAUGAGCCGCCGCCCGGGCCGGGGUUGAACCUUCUGACUCAGCCACCCCCGGCCGCCCGGGCCGCUGGGGGAGGGGCGGCGUCUGGGGUGCUCCCUUUCAGCCCCGGAGCCCGUCUGCUGUGUAUUCGGCCGGUCACAUCUCUCUCCCCCAACGCCCUGAUCCGCCCUCCACCUUCCUCUCCUCCAGGUUCUGGGCCGGAGAAGGGGCGACGUUCGGGCACCCCCCGAAUGGACAAUCUUUCCUUCUGUCAACGGCAGGGGCAGGCCUAGUUUGACUCUGACAGUCCUCCCACUAAGGAAUUCCUGGUGACUGGAAGGGGGAGUGACUCAGGCCCUCAACCUCUAGCAGGUAAGGGAGCUACCUCCUGGGUGGGCAUGCCCAGUUCCUCAGUGGGCCCAGCGCGGCCCAGCCUCCGAGGAAGCUCUGAGCAGCUGGCUUGGCUCCGAGGUAUUUUUAGCUACAGAUCCAGCCCCCCUCCAUCACCACAACAGUCGAGUCCAAAUCAAACGCGCUCCAGGCAGGUGGGGCUGGGGUUCUGCCAGCCUCCUGGCCAGCAGGGGUGGGUGGGCAGACUGGGGCCAGUAUCAGCUGUUCUGCCUGGACCCAGGCCGGGCUGGGAAGGCACACUUGUGCUUAUUUCCCGCCUCCACUUCUGUGCAAGCUUGUGCUGUCAUAAGCAGAGAUCACAGCCCCAUUUCUUGGAUGGAGAAAGUGGACACUGAGGUCUGAGGCUUUUGAGGACAGUCAGGAGCCCUCCUAUGGGCUCCAGUGAUGCACUCACCAGCUUCUGGUCCUCUUCUUCCACCUCUUAGAGUGCCUUGGCUCCCUCCUGUCGUCCUGGGGAACCUCGGCCCCAGCCCUGCCUCCCCAGCCAGUCACAGCUCCUCCCUGGUCACCCUGAGGGAGCUCAGGGCCCGGCUGGUAGCUGGGUUGCUCUGCUUCUGUCCCCCACUCCUGUGGAGCCUGGCAGGCAACUCCAUGAUCUGACCCCGGUUACCUUGACAGCCCUGCCUGGCCUCCCCUCUCAUGGCCCAGCCACCCCAGAACCUGAAGAGGUUUUCUAGCUGCCGUGCAUUUGCCAGGCUGGGUUACCCACCCUACUUUCCCUGCCUGCCCUCCAGUGCUGCCAGGCCUAGUGUGCCAGCCAGCGCUCAGCCUUCAGUAAAGGGUUCCCCUGCUUCCAACCUCCAUUGCACUGCUUCCCCUAAGACUGUGACCUCCUGGAAGGCUGGAGCACAACUGCC
rnacentral:lncRNA from 1 species